rnacentral:sRNA from 1 species
GGAUGUGAGGGCGAUCUGGCUCUGACAUCUGUCAUCCCAUUGGUCUCCCAGGUUGAUUGGGCUGAUCUGGUUGGCUAGGCAGGUGUCCCCUUCCUCCCUCACAGCUCCAUGUGCGCCCCUCCCGAAGCAGCACACUCAGUUGAAGAGGACGACUUUCCCUGAAUAAAGACAUGUAGGCUUUCCUUUGUUCUUGGGUUAAGACUUCCUUCUUCUUCUGUAUAUAGUAUUCCUUUGUGUAUCUUUAGUGCAGGCUUACUGGUCAUGAAUGAUAUA